CAUAGGGUAACACGGAGAACGACGUCAGUUCCAUUGCUACGAAACCAGGGAACGUGUCUCGAAACGUUCCGGUUUCAGACUCUAGAAGCCUAACUUCAACAUCAGGUCGUUCUACAACACACCGAACUACAGUUUCACCUCUUACGCGACCAACGUGGGAACUACGUCCAUAAGGUAGGGAGCCCGUUAAGGAUUUCGUUAUAGAUCGUAAA
rnacentral:rRNA from 1 species